UGCAAGUCGAGCGGUAACAGGGGUAGCUUGCUACCCGCUGACGAGCGGCGGACGGGUGAGUAAUGCAUGGGUAUCUGCCCGGUAGUGGGGGAUAACUCGGGGAAACCCGAGCUAAUACCGCAUACGUCCUACGGGAGAAAGCAGGGGAUCUUCGGACCUUGCGCUAUCGGAUGAGCCCAUGUCGGAUUAGCUUGUUGGUGAGGUAACGGCUCACCAAGGCGACGAUCCGUAGCUGGUCUGAGAGGAUGAUCAGCCACACCGGGACUGAGACACGGCCCGGACUCCUACGGGAGGCAGCAGUGGGGAAUAUUGGACAAUGGGGGAAACCCUGAUCCAGCCAUGCCGCGUGUGUGAAGAAGGCCUUCGGGUUGUAAAGCACUUUCAGUGGGGAAGAAGGCAUGAUGAUUAAUACUCGUCAUGAAGGACAUCACCCACAGAAGAAGCACCGGCUAACUCCGUGCCAGCAGCCGCGGUAAUACGGAGGGUGCAAGCGUUAAUCGGAAUUACUGGGCGUAAAGGGCGCGUAGGCGGCUUGCCAAGCCGGAUGUGAAAGCCCCGGGCUCAACCCGGGAACGGCAUUCGGAACUGGUAGGCUAGAGUGCAGGAGAGGAAGGUGGAAUUCCCGGUGUAGCGGUGAAAUGCGUAGAGAUCGGGAGGAAUACCAGUGGCGAAGGCGGCCUUCUGGACUGACACUGACGCUGAGGCGCGAAAGCGUGGGUAGCAAACAGGAUUAGAUACCCUGGUAGUCCACGCCGUAAACGAUGUCGACCAGCCGUUGGACCCCUUGAGGGUUUGGUGGCGCAGUUAACGCAAUAAGUCGACCGCCUGGGGAGUACGGCCGCAAGGCUAAAACUCAAAUGAAUUGACGGGGGCCCGCACAAGCGGUGGAGCAUGUGGUUUAAUUCGAUGCAACGCGAAGAACCUUACCUGCUCUUGACAUCCUGCGAAUCUCC
rnacentral:rRNA from 1 species